rnacentral:tRNA from 1 species
GCCUCGAUAGUGUAAUGGAUCAGCACGGUACAUCGGAUAUCUAUAAGUGCGGGUUCGAAUCCCACCUGAGGCU